AUUGAACGCUGGCGGCAGGCCUAACACAUGCAAGUCGAACGAGUGGCGGACGGGUGAGUAAUGUCUGGGAAACUGCCUGCUGGAGGGGGAUAACUACUGGAAACGGUAGCUAAUACAGCAUACCAUCAGAUGUGCCCGGAUGGGAUUAGCUAGUAGGUGGGGUAACGGCUCACCUAGGCGACGAUCCCUAGCUGGUCUGAGAGGAUGACCAGCCACACUGGAACUGGGACACGGUCCAGACUCCUACGGGAGGCAGCAGUGGGGAAUAUUGGACAAGGGGGGCAAGUCUGAUGCAGCCAUGCCGCGUGUAUGAAGAAGGCCUUCGGGUUGUAAAGUACUUUCAGCGGGGAGGCGUUACCCGCAGAAGAAGCGCCGGCUAACUCCGUGCCAGCAGCCGCGGUAAUAC
rnacentral:rRNA from 1 species